AGACAGAGGUGGCAAGCGUUGUUCGGAUUUACUGGGCUUAAAGGGCGUGUAGGCGUCCUGGUAAGUCAGAUGUGGAAGCCUUGGGCUCAACCCAAGAAUUGCAUUUGAUACUGCCGGGAUUGAGUCGUGCAUGGGAGGGCGGAAUUCCUGGUGUAGCGGUGAAAUGCGUAGAUAUCAGGAGGAAGGCCGGUGGCGAAGGUGGCCCUCUGGGCAAUGACUGACGCUGAGGCGCGAAAGCGUGGGGAGCAAACAGGAUUAGAAACCCUACUAGUCC
rnacentral:rRNA from 1 species